AGUGGGAUAACUGGGUCAAAUGGUGGUUCCAUUCCAAGUUUUCUAAGGAAUCUCCAUACUGCUUUCCAGAGUGGUUGCACCAAUUUGCAAUCCCACCAGCAAU
rnacentral:pre_miRNA from 1 species